UACGUAGGGUGCAAGCGUUGUCCGGAAUUAUUGGGCGUAAAGAGCUCGUAGGCGGUCUGUCACGUCGGCUGUGAAAACCCGAGGCUCAACCUCGGGCCUGCAGUCGAUACGGGCAAACUAGAGUACUGCAGGGGAGACUGGAAUUCCUGGUGUAGCGGUGAAAUGCGCAGAUAUCAGGAGGAACACCGGUGGCGAAGGCGGUUCUCUGGGCAUUACCUGACGCUGAGGAGCGAAAGCGUGGGGAGCGAACAGG
rnacentral:rRNA from 1 species